UAGAUUUAAUUUAACUAGUAAUCUGCAACAUAUGAAACUUGCUUCCAACCCCUUGAAAAUUAAUUCUGAAUAAACAGGCGCAGCAUUGUUCUGUUAGGUCCUAACCAAAUGUAAAAAUAAAUAUGUCACACAUGGUGCUGGUUUUAAAAUAAAACACCAUUUAAUAGUGAAGGAAGUGGUUCCAUCUCUCUCUUCCUCAUAGUUUUUUUGUUUUUUGUUUUGUUUGUUGUUUUUUUGCAAAAAUUACUUCACUGGUGGUACAAUUAACAAUAGAAAAAGUUUCUAUUGGCACUAAUGGAGCAUUUACGAGUAAAAUGCAGCAGUUAAAAAACAAAACAGAAUACUGUAUUGGCAUGGGACAGAAGGGUUCAAGCAUGUAUACUAGAUUGCUUAUUUAAAACAGUCAGCUUUCUAGUUCAGACUUACCAAUACAUUUUUAUAUGACAAAACAGUUGUUGCAUGUAAUAUGAUAUAUAGCUCUAUUACAGCAGGUAUAGCUUAGUAGGUUGGAGCACAUGGCUGGAGCAGGUUCAUGGUUAGGAGUUCAAAUUCUCCCUGUCUUUCCCAGGAGAUGAACCAGCUGAAAUCCACUAUAAUCAAUAUAAGUUGGAAUCAACUUGAUGGCACAUUAAUAAUAAUACACACAUAUGUUAUAAAAAUAAUUAUAUUUUAUUUUAUGUCUCAACAGUAUUGUAAGGUAGCCUAACGAGAGAGAUUACACUUCAUAGCUGAAUGGGGAUUUGGUCCUACCACAAUGCUCCUAACUAACAAGAUCACACAGUAUAUAUAGUCAAUCAAAACUGAAUAGAAUAGUUCUUCCUUUAACAACACUGAGGUUAGAGGUGUUGAACCCCCAUGCAGUUCAAAAUCUGUAUAACCCUAGUCUCCUGCUGUGGUCCAGAACCCUCCCUGAUAGAAGGGGCCAGUUGGGCCACCACCAUCAGACCUGGAGCUGCCGCAUUGUAAACAGGGCCCCAGGUAAGCCGGAGACCCACCUUUAUCAGGCCACUUCAUAGACAAAUAGCACAGUAUUUACUGAUUAUUUAUUGAAAUAUUUGUUGGGGAAAAGUGCAUAACAAAAACUGUGCAGCUCAGCUCCAUGCAAUUCAAGGGAGAAGUGUACCCAUGCACAGAGAACACUCCAGCCUUGCCCCCUUGACUCCCCACUUCAUUUCUCUCCUCCACAUGGAAGUCAACAAGUCUGAAGAGAGAAAGCUCAGUUCCCGGGGAAGGUGAAAUUGACUCUGGAGCUCUGCCUCUUCAGACUCAUUGCCCUCAACAUGCAAAAGAGGAAUGGAAUAAGAUAGGGAAAGGGUGCAGCUGGAAUGCUCCCCUCUUUGUGCAAGUUGCCUAUGUGGCUUUUUAACAGGGUAGGACAAUGUCACUAGAUGACUAGGUUUCCAUCAUUAGUAUAAUGGAAAUCUGUCUGGGACAAGCUUAUGCCAACAUUAAGCAAGGACUAUUCUCAUGCUGGCAUUUAACUUUGUAAUGCCUACCCAUGGUCAGGAGGUUCAAUUAGCAUCACAAUCUGUUUGGAAUCUAACACAGACAUUUUUAUUUGUCCAGGCACUUUAAAUACUUUUAUCGCCUCCGUUUUAUAGUUUCUCAUUGAGUCUCCCUUGAGGUUUUACUAGUGUUCAUAUUAAGAUUGUUCUAUUUAUUAUACUGUAUUCACUCCUAUAAUUUUUCAUGUGUUUGGACAUCUUCCAAGAAUGUAUGUGGAUGAUGAGCAGCAAAUGGAUACACAUUGGUUGCACAAUAGCUUUCCCCAUAGUAUGGAGUGUCCAGGUUUUUUUUAAGUAAUUUAAAUCUAUACAAUGCAUACACAGAGUGAAUGCUACUGUGUGCACUUCAUCUCAUGCCACCUCAACUUUUCACAUUAUCAUAUAGUAUUGCUUCUGUCUUUAACCUAAAGAAAAAUACUAAUACUGAACAAACAUCAUGUGGACCCUAGCUAAAAACCAGCAAGACCAUUACUGUAAUUAGGUACAAUAGAACACUCUUUCUCCCAAAAGCUUGAAUGGAACACAACGUGAACUUAUUAUCAAAUACAGUGUCUCAGUCACAAACGUGCUUGACAGAAUGCCUAUUUCUAUACCUUACUAGCUUAUGUAUAUAAACCAGUAACAAUGCACAGAAAGAAUACACAACGCUUAACAGCAGAUUGUAUAAAAGUGUUUACUAAAGCAUUAGCCUUUGUUUUAAAAAGUUACCUUCGGUCCCUUAUUAAGUCUCUUUUUGUGGAUAAAUAUCUUUCCACUGGCAUUAAGCUAUAUAACUGAACAGCUUUUACAGUUACUAAAUAAAAAAAACUUAACCUAAAGAUUAAGAAAAAUA
ensembl:lncRNA